CCCUAACAUGUACUUGAAAUUGUUAUUUUACAGACAUAACAAGUAGUUGUCAUCUGUCUUCAUGAAAUGAAGCCACACUUUGGACCAUCUUUUCAUCUCUACAGUGACUUGUUAUUGGUCCGGGAACAUGUGACGUCAAACAUACCAGAGUGUAAUUAAAGGCUACAGACCUCCAUCCAGACUGAUGUAUGGCAUAUUACCUGUUACUGAACUUGAACUUAAAUAAAAUGGAUGAUGUGA